CGAUGAACCUCCUUCGGGAGGGGAUUAGUGGCGAACGGGUGAGUAACACGUGGGCAAUCUGCCCUGCACUCUGGGACAAGCCCUGGAAACGGGGUCUAAUACCGGAUACUGAUCAUCUUGGGCAUCCUGGAUGAUCGAAAGCUCCGGCGGUGCAGGAUGAGCCCGCGGCCUAUCAGCUUGUUGGUGAGGUAACGGCUCACCAAGGCGACGACGGGUAGCCGGCCUGAGAGGGCGACCGGCCACACUGGGACUGAGACACGGCCCAGACUCCUACGGGAGGCAGCAGUGGGGAAUAUUGCACAAUGGGCGCAAGCCUGAUGCAGCGACGCCGCGUGAGGGAUGACGGCCUUCGGGUUGUAAACCUCUUUCAGCAGGGAAGAAGCGCAAGUGACGGUACCUGCAGAAGAAGCGCCGGCUAACUACGUGCCAGCAGCCGCGGUAAUACGUAGGGCGCGAGCGUUGUCCGGAAUUAUUGGGCGUAAAGAGCUCGUAGGCGGCUUGUCGCGUCGGUUGUGAAAGCCCGGGGCUUAACCCCGGGUCUGCAGUCGAUACGGGCAGGCUAGAGUUCGGUAGGGGAGAUCGGAAUUCCUGGUGUAGCGGUGAAAUGCGCAGAUAUCAGGAGGAACACCGGUGGCGAAGGCGGAUCUCUGGGCCGAUACUGACGCUGAGGAGCGAAAGCGUGGGGAGCGAACAGGAUUAGAUACCCUGGUAGUCCACGCCGUAAACGGUGGGCACUAGGUGUGGGCAACAUUCCACGUUGUCCGUGCCGCAGCUAACGCAUUAAGUGCCCCGCCUGGGGAGUAC
rnacentral:rRNA from 1 species